rnacentral:rRNA from 1 species
UACACUCCUGCGGGAGGCAGCAGUGGGGAAUAUUGGACAAUGGGCGCAAGCCUGAUCCAGCCAUGCCGCGUGAGUGAUGAAGGCCCUAGGGUUGUAAAGCUCUUUCACCGGUGAAGAUAAUGACGGUAACCGGAGAAGAAGCCCCGGCUAACUUCGUGCCAGCAGCCGCGGUAAUACGAAGGGGGCUAGCGUUGUUCGGAUUUACUGGGCGUAAAGCGCACGUAGGCGGACUAUUAAGUCAGGGGUGAAAUCCCGGGGCUCAACCCCGGAACUGCCUUUGAUACUGGUAGUCUUGAGUUCGAGAGAGGUGAGUGGAAUUCCGAGUGUAGAGGUGAAAUUCGUAGAUAUUCGGAGGAACACCAGUGGCGAAGGCGGCUCACUGGCUCGAUACUGACGCUGAGGUGCGAAAGCGUGGGGAGCAAACAGGAUUAGAACCCCUGUAGUCCCA